CCCUGUUUCCUGGCUUUAAAAGGAGCGUAAGCGGCCUUGUAAGUCAGCGGUGAAAUUUUGCAUCUUAACUGUAAAAGUGCCGUUGAUACUGUGAGGCUAGGAUUUGGUUGCUGUGGGUGGAAUGUGUGGUGUAGCGGUGAAAUGCUUAGAGAUCACACAGAAUAUCGAUUGCGAAGGCAGCUCACAAAGCCAAGAUUGGCGCUGAGGCACGAAAGUGUGGGGAUCAAACAGGAUUAGAUACCCUGGUAGUCCACACUGUAAACGAUGAUAACUCGCUGUCGGCGAUAUACAGUCGGUGGCCAAGCGAAAGCGAUAAGUUAUCCACCUGGGGAGUACGACCGCAAGGUUGAAACUCAAAGGAAUUGACGGGGGCCCGCACAAGCGGAGGAACAUGUGGUUUAAUUCGAUGAUACGCGAGGAACCUUACCCGGGCUCGAACGGUGCAGGAAUAUGGUAGAGAUAUCAUAGCUAGCAAUAGUCUGUAUCGAGGUGCUGCAUGGUUGUCGUCAGCUCGUGCCGUGAGGUGUCGGCUUAAGUGCCAUAGCGAGCGCAACCCUUGUCAUUAGUUACCAUCAGGUCAAGCUGGGGACUCUAAUGAGACUGCCACCGUAAGGUGAGAGGAAGGGGGGGGAUGACGUCAAAUCAGCACGGCCCUUAUGUCCGGGGGCGACACACGUGUUACAAUGGGGGGGUACAGAGGGCAGCCAUCCGGGCGACGGAGCGCCAAUCUUAAAAACCCCUUCUCAGUUCGGAUUGGGAAUCUGCCAACCCGACUUCAUGAAGUUGGAUUCGCCUAGUAAAUCGCGCAUCAGG
rnacentral:rRNA from 1 species